rnacentral:rRNA from 1 species
UACGUAGGCAGCGAGCGUUGUUCGGAGUUACUGGGGCGUAAAGGGUGUGUAGGCGGUUCUUUUAAGUUUGGUGUGAAAUCUCCCCGGCUCAACCGGGAGGGUGCGCCGAAUACUGAGGAACUAGAGUACGGGAGAGGAAAGUGGAAUUCCUGGUGUAGCGGUGAAAUGCGUAGAUAUCAGGAGGAACACCGGUGGUGUAGACGGCUUUCUGGACCGUAACUGACGCUGAGACACGAAAGCGUGGGUAGCAAACAGG